AAAGACUUAAUUUCUGUGUUUUCGUGUCCAACGUUUGAUCGUCCGUAUUAUAUGAAUUUUUUAUUAUUAGUAUUUUCAUUAUUGUUAGAUGACAAAACAUAAAUAAUACUUCAUGCAUUACUUAUCUUUUUAAUUUUUUUCAUAAUUUUUUUAAAUAGGACGGACGGUUAAAUGUUAGACAUGUAAAUCCAGAAAUUGAGUUCUU
rnacentral:pre_miRNA from 1 species